AGUGAACGCUGGCGGUAGGCCUAACACAUGCAAGUCGAACGGCAGCACAGUAAGAGCUUGCUCUUCCGGGUGGCCAAUGGCGGGCGGGUCAGGAGUACAUCGGGAUCUUCUUUUUCGUAGAGCAUCACGUAGGUAAACUUACGCUCGUACCGCAUCCGCCCUACGGUGGAGAGCAUGGGAUCUUCGCAGCUUGCGCGAUUGAAUGCGCCGAUGUCGGAUUAGAUAGUUGGCGGGGUAAAUGCCCACGCAGGCGACGAUCCGUAGCUGGACUGAGAGGAUGGUCAGCCACACUGGAACGUAGACAGGGUCCAGAGGACUACGGGAGGCAGCAGUGGGGAAUAGUGGACAAUGGGCGGAAGCCUGAUCCAGCCAGACCGCGCGGGUGAAGAAGGCGCUGGGUGUGUAAAGACCUUUUGUGGGGAAAGAAAAGCAGCAGCUUAAUACCCAGCUGUUCUGACGGUAACCAAUGAAGAAGCACCGGCUAACUUCGUG
rnacentral:rRNA from 1 species